UGCGCAGGCGGUUUUGUAAGUCAGAUGUGAAAUCCCCGAGCUCAACUUGGGAACUGCGUUUGAAACUACAAGACUAGAAUAUGUCAGAGGGGGGUAGAAUUCCACGUGUAGCAGUGAAAUGCGUAGAGAUGUGGAGGAAUACCAUGGCGAAGGCAGCCCCCUGGGAUAAUAUUGACGCUCAUGCACGAAAGCGGUGGGGAGCAAACA
rnacentral:rRNA from 1 species